UACAGAGGUGGCAAGCGUUGUUCGGAAUUACUGGGCGUAAAGGGCGAGUAGGUGGCCAUCUAAGUCAGACGUGAAAUCCCCCGGCUUAACCUGGGAACUGCGUCUGAUACUGGACGGCUAGAGUUUGGGAGAGGGAUGCAGAAUUCCAGGUGUAGCGGUGAAAUGCGUAGAUAUCUGGAGGAAUACCGGUGGCGAAGGCGGCAUCCUGGACCAACACUGACGCUGAGGCACGAAAGCGUGGGGAGCAAACAGG
rnacentral:rRNA from 1 species